UACGGAGGGUGCAAGCGUUAAUCGGAAUUACUGGGCGUAAAGCGCACGCAGGUGGCUGAGUCAGUCGAUUGUGAAAGCCCUGGGCUUAACCUGGGAAUUGCAGUCGAUACUACUCAGCUAGAGUAUGGGAGAGGGUAGUGGAAUUCCCGGUGUAGCGGUGAAAUGCGUAGAUAUCAGGAGGAACACCGAUGGCGAAGGCAGGUCUCUGGGCCACUACUGACGCUGAGAAGCGAAAGCAUGGGGAGCGAACAGG
rnacentral:rRNA from 1 species